AGCAUCAAUAUCCACUCUGAGAAUUGAUGGCUAUGUUAUCUAGCGGAAACCCAGUGAGGCCAAUUUUGACUUUGUGGCUGUGGUAAAGAGUGACAACCCAACUCUGGAUGCCAAUGCGAUAACAGUUAUGGACAAGAUUGAAGAUAGCUGGAUUCCAUUUGAGCAACAAUGUCUUCAGAACAGGAUUCCAGUUUUGAAAAGCUGCAGACCAUCCAAGGGGCACAGGCAGGGCUGCAGAAUGAAUUGGACAGACAAGACCUUGAAAAGGCUGCCUGACUGAAAGAGAGGCUAGCUGGGAUGAAGGCUAAAUUUCAAGAGCUGUGUUUUAAAGAAAGGGGAGAGGUGCUGGAGCUGGCUGCUUCCCUUCGUUUUGGAGUGAUUUUUGAUAACAUGGGGUACCGAGAGCUAGCCCACGGUCUCUGGACAACCUCGCUGGUGCACCUGCAUAACUUUCAGGUUGACUCCUGCACCUUACAACACACAAACAGUUUCCAUUUCAGCCAUGCAAUAUUACAUUUACCAAGUAUGUUUACAUAACAGGUUAACUUUCCACAGCUACACUGGACUUUAUUUUUCAUUUGGAUCCCAAUUAGGAAAAAUACUCCAUUUGGUUAUAUCUUUGUAAGUAUUUUUUUUUUUUUAGCAUUUUUCCUUCAGAAGUUUAUCAGAAUGUUUCCCUUACACUGUGCUUUUGUUAUUUUGAGGAAGGUUACAGAGGCUUACUUGUAUUCUUGUUUAUCUCCCUAAUAACACUAUUUGACCUAAUCUGUGUAAUUGGACCAACUUGUUUUGUACUGUAUUUACACCAGGGUACUCUAUCCAUCUUUCUGCAUAUCUACCCACCUGUAGGUCUGAUAAUUUGUAGUGUAAACCGUAGAGAUCCAGGAAAAGAGAACAGUUUAGUAAAUCAUUCUAAAAACAUUUUGAAAGUAUAAUAAUGAUGACUACAUGGCUAGACAAAAAAUGCACACAUAUUGUUUCUCACAUAAGUUUAUUGUUGCCCACACAAACUUCCCUUAUUUACAGUAUAUGAUUUAUAUGUUUGGUUGUAAGCCCACCUCUUUCCACAACAAUUGAGUACUCUGUAGGUUUUAACACUUUCCAGGAACCACCAAGUCAGACAACAUGGAAAGCUCCAGUCAUUUCCAGUUCAAAGGUGUGCUUACUGCACCCUGUGUUGCGUGGUGAUGUCUCCUCGAAGUUGUAGCAGCUCAGCAGUUGUUGGUGGUGGCACUUCAAGGAGUCUUGGGUAAUCUGAUCUCAGGAUCAUUCUCCUCGGUUGCCCUAAUUGAGAGCCGAGUCUUCUCAACACUGCUCUCUGAAGUUCUGGCAUGUCGGUGUAGUCCUUUGCAGUUUUCAUUGCGUAGACACUUCACCUUUGAGACUUGUUAAUGUAGAGUCUCCUUUAGCUUAAAUAUAAUCAUUUUUGGUGAGUAUUUUGUCUAUAGAAUUAAAUAUCACACCUGAUUAAACAAAUUGUGCUGCAGUACGCUGCAAAUUUUAAAGGAUGAACCACUGUACACCUGGUACAAGAAAAACAUAACCUCAACAAAAGCAUCUGCAGCACAACUGUAUCAUACUGACCUAGCUGUGAUGUUUUCCAUUUGACUACUUUCCUUGAAGUGAUCAUUAUACAUGUUGAUUAAUAUUUUACUGUAUACAGGAUUAUGUAACCAUUUCUGUUCAUGUACAUCCUCCUUUAUUUUCUCUUUGGGAUUUGCUAUUUGAUUUUUAAUUACAUACAUUACUUUUCGCAGCUUUUCAUAUGGAAGAUAUUGAGUUUUGAUAGUUUUUGUUUUUGUCAUCAUAAAUACUGUGCAAAUGAUCCAUGAA